rnacentral:snoRNA from 2 species
CUGCAUGAGUUGCAUCCUUCUGUAAAUAUGGACAAACAAUAAAAUUGAUGGAAUUUAGGUGAGCAACAUGUGAGUUAUAUAUAUGCUCACAAAGGACCAUCGCACACAA